rnacentral:rRNA from 1 species
GUCUUUAAGUUAUAAUUUAAAGUCCAAUCUGCUCACUGAAUUUUUUAAAGAGCCGCGGUAUUUUAACUGUGCAAAGGUAGCAUAAUCAAUAGUUUUUUAAUUGAAAACUGGAAUGAAUGAUUAAACGAAAAAUUAACUUUCUUUACUUUUAAAUUUGAAUUUAAAUUUUAAGUUAAAAUUCUUAAAUAAAAUUAAAAGACGAGAAGACCCUAUAGAUUUUUAUUUAUCUAACUUUAUUUUAUUUUAAUAAAUUUAGUUAAAUUUGAUUGGGGCGAUAUUGUUAAAAAAGUAACUAAAAUAAAUUUAACCAUAAAUAAUUGAAUAUUUAGAUUUGAAAUUUUUAAUUGAAAAAUUAAAUUACCUUAGGGAUAACAGCGUAAUUUUAUUUAAGAGUUCGUAUCUAUAAUAAAGUUUGCGACCUCGAUGUUGAAUUAAGAAAUUUAUUGGAGUAGAAAUUAAUAUAAAUUAGUCUGUUCGACUAUUUAAUUCU